rnacentral:tRNA from 2 species
CGACGCAGGUUUGAAGGGAUUUAAAUCGUUGUCAUGGGGUGUCAGGGGUCGGAGGUUCAAAUCCUCUCGUGCCGACCA